rnacentral:rRNA from 1 species
AAUAGAUACCCCGGUAGUCCACGCCGUAAACGUUGGAUACUAGGUGUGGCGGUCUACCAACGACUGCCGUGCCGAAGCUAACGCAUUAAGUAUCCCGCCUGGGGAGUACGGCCGCAAGGCUAAAACUCAAAGGAAUUGACGGGUCCCCGCACAAGCGGCGGAGCAUGCGGCUUAAUUCGAUGCAACCCGAAGAACCUUACCUGGGUUUGACAUCAUGGGAAAAGCCGUAGAAAUACGGUGUCCGAAAGGGCCCAUGACAGGUGGUGCAUGGCUGUCGUCAGCUCGUGUCGUGAGAUGUUGGGUUAAGUCCCGCAACGAGCGCAACCCUUGUCCUAUGUUGCCAGCGGUUCGGCCGGGGACUCAUAGGAGACUGCCGGGGAUAACUCGGAGGAAGGUGAGGACGACGUCAAGUCAGUCAUGCCCCUUAUAUCCAGGGCUGCACGCAUGCUACAAUGGCCGGUACAACGGGAAGCGACCCCGCGAGGGUGAGCGAAUCCCUUAAAGCCGGUCCCAGUUCGGAUUGAAGUCUGCAACUCGACUUCA